rnacentral:misc_RNA from 1 species
AAAAGUAGGUUUGGUCCCUUCCUAGAUUGAUCAUGCGCACCCGCAACUAUUCACAAUAACUUGAAAAACUGCUUUCGUCAACCUAGGCCACCCACAAGCCCUUGAACAAGCUUACCCAAAAAUAAAAAGCUAAACAAACUGGAUCAAAACUAAAAAGACCAUCAGGGGAAGGCUCCACUUUCAAUAACAAUAUUGGUAGGUUUCUGUUUUCUCCAAGGCAAAGGCUGGAAUCUACAAUGGUAAAAGUAAGACAG